rnacentral:rRNA from 1 species
GGUGAACGCUGGCGGCGUGCUUAAGACAUGCAAGUCGAACGGCAGUCUUCGGACUGUAGUGGCGCACGGGUGAGUAACGCGUAACUGACCUACCCCAAAGUCGCGGAUAACGAUUCGAAAGAAUCGCUAAUACGUGAUGUGCUGUCAGAUUGUGUUCUGCCAGUAAAGAUUGAUUGCUUUGGGAUGGGGUUGCGUUCCAUCAGCUAGUUGGUGGGGUAAAGGCCCACCAAGGCGACGACGGAUAGCCAGCCUGAGAGGGUGGCCGGCCACAGGGGCACUGAGACACGGGUCCCACUCCUACGGGAGGCAGCAGUUAGGAAUCUCCCACAAUGGGCGAAAGCCUGAUGGAGCGACGCCGCGUGAGGGAUGAAGGUCUUCGGAUCGUAAACCUCUGAAUCAGGGACGAAAGACACUUCGGUGGGAUGACGGUACCUGAGUAAUAGCACCGGCUAACUCCGUGCCAGCCGCCGCGGUAAUAC